rnacentral:rRNA from 1 species
CCUACGGGUGGCAGCAGUGAGGAAUAUUGGUCAAUGGUCGGGAGACUGAACCAGCCAAGCCGCGUGAGGGAUGAAGGUACAGAGUAUCGUAAACCUCUUUUGUCAGGGAACAAAGGCGGGGACGCGUCCCCGGAUGAGUGUACCUGAAGAAAAAGCAUCGGCUAACUCCGUGCCAGCAGCCGCGGUAAUACGGAGGAUGCGAGCGUUAUCCGGUUUUAUUGGGUUAAAGGGGUGCGAAGGGGGUGUGUUAAGUCAGCGGUAAAAGCCCGGGGCUCAACCCCGGCCCGCCGUUGAAACUGGCAGUCUCGAGUUGGAGAGAAGUAUGCGGAAUGCGCGGUGUAGCGGUGAAAUGCAUAGAUAUCGCGCAGAACUCCGAUUGCGAAGGCAGCAUGCCGGCUCCACACUGACGCUGAGGCACGAAAGCGUGGGUAUCGAACAGGAUUAGAUACCCGGGUAGUC